rnacentral:rRNA from 1 species
GAUGAACGCUGGCGGCGUGCCUAAUACAUGCAAGUCGAGCGAACGGACGAGAAGCUUGCUUCUCUGAUGUUAGCGGCGGACGGGUGAGUAACACGUGGAUAACCUACCUAUAAGACUGGGAUAACUUCGGGAAACCGGAGCUAAUACCGGAUAAUAUUUUGAACCGCAUGGUUCAAAAGUGAAAGACGGUCUUGCUGUCACUUAUAGAUGGAUCCGCGCUGCAUUAGCUAGUUGGUAAGGUAACGGCUUACCAAGGCAACGAUGCAUAGCCGACCUGAGAGGGUGAUCGGCCACACUGGAACUGAGACACGGUCCAGACUCCUACGGGAGGCAGCAGCAGGGAAUCUUCCGCAAUGGGCGAAAGCCUGACGGAGCAACGCCGCGUGAGUGAUGAAGGUCUUCGGAUCGUAAAACUCUGUUAUUAGGGAAGAACAUAUGUGUGAGUAACUGUGCACAUCUUGACGGUACCUAAUCAGAAAGCCACGGCUAACUACGUG